CAGAACUCAUCUUCACUUGUACUUGCCAAAUAUAUGUGUGUUUUUCUUUUUUCAAAUGUAUACAGUGCUGAUUACUGUUUGGCUAAGGUUAAGUGUUAGAAAGCGGGUAGAAUGUUGCUUUAAUAGCAUUAACCACGUACCAAACGCGAUUUGUCUAGGUGUACGUUUUAAUCUGUGUUGCUUACACAUCGAAUGACGCCAUUUCAACCUUGCAUUACCUACACCCCUCUUAUAGCCUGAGAACUAGAAAAUUGCACCUUGAAGUCUAAAACCCGAGAUUGUGUGGUAUAACGAAUUACGUUAGAUUAGGUUAAGGGUAACCGUAAAUGGUCGUUAAUUGGCAGAAGAUAAAUUAGAGAAGCGAAGCCUAAUUAACGCAGAUGCAGCGAAGAGAAGGAACAUUACCUAAGGAGGAAUAAGUAGUAAACUGGGUAGGAAAAGAGCUACUGGACAAUUGGAUUUUUUUUUUUUUUUGAAGAGUUCUUCUAGAUUUAUUUUCUACAUCCCGAUAUUUGGCAACCGACUUAGAAUGGCAUGACUGGGAUUGUGUGCUUGGAAGCCGUACUUUGGUAAUUUGUGACGGUCAUUAAAUUUGAGAAGCAAAGCAGACUUUACAUUAAUGUGUCCAGUUGCAACAAUAAUUCAUAGAACUAAUAAGAACAACAAUGAUAAUGAAGAUCAAUAAGGUUAGCCGGGUUAUUUUCAUGUGUUUACUAUAUUCAUGACAUGUCCAGUAGUAAGAACUUUAUAAUUUUGGUUCAUGUUUGACGAUGUCGAAUUGAGGAACUUUAAAUUUUUCAUUCAUUACCAAGUCAAACGUAAGUAGUUUCCUUCUCGACUCGAGUAGAUAGAGUUGCUGCUUAACAAUAAAACGUAAUCUAGCACAAUAAACCCCUCUCAAACUUUCAAUAAAGUCUUUUAUCUUUUCCUUAUUUUCCUUAAUUUGAUACAGUGAGCGACAACAUUGGACACCUUUUGUUUACAAGGAAAAGGGUCAGAUUCAGGCCGUAAGAAACUCUGCCGCAAUGUCAAUUACAGCUCCCUUUUGAAUCAUUCAGCUUUUCUCGGCUAAUAAUUUUAUUCUAGGAUCAUGUUUGAAAGAUUCCAUUUACUUACUUAUUCUUAUAAUUUGGGAUGUUCUUAUCAUUUUGGCAUACCAGUGAACAUGCAAAGAAAGCACAGCAAAAAAGUUUGUGCUGCAUAAAAUCUCGUUGAAAUGUUUUACAGGAGUAUAGCGCGUUAUUAAAAAACCUAGGGCGAUUACUUUUCAAUACGUUAAACUAAUAACGAAAGAUAACCUUCACAUCGCUCUACGAAUUAGUAAAAUAGCAAUGCACAACGCGAUAAAAAACGAUUUGAAUGGAAUGAAAGGGGUGAGGCUAUAAAAAGCAUUCUAUAGUUGUCAAUCAAUUUUUUUGCAAUCGAGUUCUAGAGAUUUUUUGGAUUCGUAUAUCCAUGUUAACCAAUUCAAAGUGUGAACGCCAACGAUGCCACUAUAAUUUCAACCUUUUUGGGUAGCAUGUA